rnacentral:rRNA from 1 species
GACGAACGCUGGCGGCGUGCUUAACACAUGCAAGUCGAACGGAAAGGCCCUGCUUUUGUGGGGUGCUCGAGUGGCGAACGGGUGAGUAACACGUGAGUAACCUGCCCUUGACUUUGGGAUAACUUCAGGAAACUGGGGCUAAUACCGGAUAGGAUCUCCUGCUGCAUGGUGGGGGUUGGAAAGUUUCGGCGGUUGGGGAUGGACUCGCGGCUUAUCAGCUUGUUGGUGGGGUAGUGGCUUACCAAGGCUUUGACGGGUAGCCGGCCUGAGAGGGUGACCGGCCACAUUGGGACUGAGAUACGGCCCAGACGCCUACGGGAGGCAGCAGUGGGGAAUAUUGCACAAUGGGCGGAAGCCGGAUGCAGCAACGCCGCGGGCGGGAUGACGGCCUUCGGGGUGUAAACCGCUUUCGCCUGUGACGAAGCGUGAGUGACGGUAAUGGGUAAAGAAGCACCGGCUAACUACGUG